AUUGAACGCUGGCGGCAUGCUUUACACAUGCAAGUCGAACGGUAACAGGGUGCUUGCACCGCUGACGAGUGGCGAACGGGUGAGUAAUGCGUCGGAACGUGCCGAGUAGUGGGGGAUAACGCAGCGAAGGUUGUGCUAAUACCGCAUACGUACUGAGGUGGAAAGUGGGGGACCUUCGGGCCUCACGCUAUUCGAGCGGCCGACGUCUGAUUAGCUAGUAGGUGAGGUAAAGGCUCACCUAGGCGACGAUCAGUAGCGGGUCUGAGAGGAUGAUCCGCCACACUGGGACUGAGACACGGCCCAGACUCCUACGGGAGGCAGCAGUGGGGAAUUUUGGACAAUGGGCGAAAGCCUGAUCCAGCCAUGCCGCGUGUCUGAAGAAGGCCUUCGGGUUGUAAAGGACUUUUGUCAGGGAGGAAAUCCCUAGUGCUAAUAACACUGGGGGAUGACAGUACCUGAAGAAUAAGCACCGGCUAACUACGUGCCAGCAGCCGCCGUAA
rnacentral:rRNA from 1 species